AAUCUUAGAGAAGCAAUUGCUGUUGUCCAUUAAUAUGGGAAGGGUUAUAAGGCCAUUUCAGAACAAUCUGAAGUCCAUCACUCUCCGGUAAGAAAGAUUAUUCACAAGUGAAAGAUACUGAAGACGUCUGCCAAUCUUCCCAGGAGUCGACAUCCCAGCAAAUUCACCCCAAGGUCAGACUGUGCAAAGCUCAGAGACGCUACCAAAAAAAGCUUACGUUUGCAGAACUGCAUUUAAACCAGUGGUUCCCAAACUUUCUUUGCUGGGCCCCCCUUUGUUUUACAAGAAAAUCUUUGUGCCCCCCUGGCACAAACGCAUCCUCCAACCACACACGCCCAUAUUUUGCAUAUAAACUCCAUUGCAGUUUAUUUCACACCUCAAACCUUUAGUAAACAUUAAAAAAAAUGAAAGUAAACUGCAAUAAAUUAGAGGUUACAAUAAAAUAAACUACCAACACUUUUAAAUAACAGAAAAACAAACCAUCUUUAUGGUGUAAUUAUUAUACGUGUAGUUUUUUGUUACUGUGUAAGAAUACUCAAUAUUGCUAUCAAUACAUUUUUCACAAAAUGCCUCUCUGUGCAAACAUAAACAACUGUGGGAUACUGUUUGUCCGGGAUUUGGACAGCCCAGCGGGUGCUCCCGAUGCAGGGGAAACAAAUUCUGAUCGGGAUACCUACCUUGGCGCCACCGUUGUGCAGGAAAGCAGAGGUGACUGCUUUUGAUACUAUGCUGACACUAUGGGGCUAUAUGCACUAACCUCCUCGGAACAGCAGAGGGAGCACUUUUGACAGUCUUCUGGGAGCCGGUUCCGCAUUGAAAAUGUGGUUGUGCAAUGCCUUUGCAAAGCUGAUCAUUCUCACUACAAGCCAGAGGAGGGAGCCAACUGGUCAACAAUGAAUCCUUUGUAUAGUCAUGGUAUAGCAUGGCACAUGGUGAACAAAGUGAUCUACUGUCACAUUCCUAUGUACAUUUCAAAACGUGUCAUCACCAUCACUCGGAGCAUGUUUUGACUCCAUGUGGAUACAGCAGAUCUGACCUUGCUUCUGAGCUUCAGUGAUGCUCUCCUCUGAUGGAUCUGCCAAAAAACAGAACAGAUGAUGGCAAACAGGCAUGUUCACAGUGCUGGUAUUUGGUCCCAUUCAGCAACAUGCAUGUGGUAUUUUUUUUUAAACAAGAAAAUGUGGGAUGUAAAAAUAAAACUUAACA
ensembl:lncRNA